rnacentral:rRNA from 1 species
AGUACCUUGACUGUGCUAAGGUAGCAUAAUCAAUUGGCUAUUAAUUGUAGUCUAGUAUGAAAGAAGGAAUGGAUAGUGACUGUAAUAAAAAAUUUAAUUUGAAUUUAAUAAACUGGUGAAAAUACCAGUAUCUUGAAAAAAGACGAGAAGACCCUUAGAGUUUAUAAAUAAUUAAGUUAAUAAUAUCAGAGAUUACUCUGAUAUUAGUGAGAAACGAUCUACUUUUUUGUUGGGGCGACAAGAAAACAAUAUCUAACUUUUCUAUAUAAUAUUGUAAUCCAAUACGACGAAAUUUUUAGGAAUAAUAAAACUACCUUAGGGAUAACAGCAUAAUUAUAUUUUUUUGUUUGUGACC